AUUGAACGCUGGCGGCAGGCCUAACACAUGCAAGUCGAGCGAGCGGCGGACGGGUGAGUAAUGUCUGGGAAACUGCCCGAUGGAGGGGGAUAACUACUGGAAACGGUAGCUAAUACCGCAUACCAUCGGAUGUGCCCAGAUGGGAUUAGCUAGUAGGUGGGGAAAAGGCUCACCUAGGCGACGAUCCCUAGCUGGUCUGAGAGGAUGACCAGCAAACCUGGAACUAAGACACGGUCCAGACUCCUAAGGGAGGAAGCAGGGGGGAAUAUGGCACAAUGGGCGCAAGCCUGAGGCAGCCAUGCCGGGUGUAUGAAGAAGGCCUUCGGGUUGUAAAGUACUUUCAGCGGGGAGGCGUUACCCGAAGAAGAAGCACCGGCUAACUCCGUGCCAGCAGCCGCGGUAAUU
rnacentral:rRNA from 1 species